UACGUAGGUGGCAAGCGUUGUCCGGAUUUAUUGGGUUUAAAGGGUGCGUAGGCGGUUCUAUAAGUCAGUGGUGAAAUCCGGCAGCUCAACUGUCGAUGUGCCAUUGAUACUGCAGAACUUGAGUACAGACGAGGUAGGCGGAAUUGACGGUGUAGCGGUGAAAUGCUUAGAUAUCGUCAAGAACACCGAUAGCGAAGGCAGCUUACUAGACUGUAACUGACGCUGAUGCACGAAAGUGUGGGGAUCAAACAGG
rnacentral:rRNA from 3 species